rnacentral:rRNA from 1 species
GGAGCUGAAGUCAGUCGAAGAUACCAGCUGGCUGCAACUGUUUAUUAAAAACACAGCACUGUGCAAACACGAAAGUGGACGUAUACGGUGUGACGCCUGCCCGGUGCCGGAAGGUUAAUUGAUGGGGUCAGCGCAAGCGAAGCUCCUGAUCGAAGCCCCGGUAAACGGCGGCCGUAACUAUAACGGUCCUAAGGUAGCGAAAUUCCUUGUCGGGUAAGUUCCGACCUGCACGAAUGGCGUAAUGAUGGCCAGGCUGUCUCCACCCGAGACUCAGUGAAAUUGAACUCGCUGUGAAGAUGCAGUGUACCCGCGGCAAGACGGAAAGACCCCGUGAACCUUUACUAUAGCUUGACACUGAACAUUGAGCCUUGAUGUGUAGGAUAGGUGGGAGGCUUUGAAGCGUGGACGCCAGUCUGCGUGGAGCCGACCUUGAAAUACCACCCUUUAAUGUUUGAUGUUCUAACGUGGACCCGUAAUCCGGGUUGCGGACAGUGUCUGGUGGGUAGUUUGACUGGGGCGGUCUCCUCCUAAAGAGUAACGGAGGAGCACGAAGGUUGGCUAAUCCUGGUCGGACAUCAGGAGGUUAGUGCAAUGGCAUAAGCCAGCUUGACUGCGAGCGUGACGGCGCGAGCAGGUGCGAAAGCAGGUCAUAGUGAUCCGGUGGUUCUGAAUGGAAGGGCCAUCGCUCAACGGAUAAAAGGUACUCCGGGGAUAACAGGCUGAUACCGCCCAAGAGUUCAUAUCGACGGCGGUGUUUGGCACCUCGAUGUCGGCUCAUCACAUCCUGGGGCUGAAGUAGGUCCCAAGGGUAUGGCUGUUCGCCAUUUAAAGUGGUACGCGAGCUGGGUUUAGAACGUCGUGAGACAGUUCGGUCCCUAUCUGCCGUGGGCGCUGGAAGACUGAGGGGGGCUGCUCCUAGUACGAGAGGACCGGAGUGGACGCAUCACUGGUGUUCGGGUUGUCAUGCCAAUGGCACUGCCCGGUAGCUAAAUGCGGAAAAGAUAAGUGCUGAAAGCAUCUAAGCACGAAACUUGCCCCGAGAUGAGUCUUCCCUGAGACUUUGAGUCUCCUGAAGGAACGUUAAAGACGAUGACGUUGAUAGGCCGGGUGUGUAAGCGCAGCGAUGCGUUGAGCUAACCGGUACUAAUGAACCGUGAGGCUUAACCUUACA